AGAUGAAGCUCUGAGAAAGAAAAAGCUUCGACAAAAAAUAGCUACAAAAGGAGAAGUCAUGAAAGUGUUUCGAAGUCUACAACGCGACAUUAAGAGAGCAAUCAACAUAGCGAAAGAAAAACUAUUUCAAGAUAUAGAAGAUCCGGAAGCGGAAAAAAAAAGAGCGGAAGACCUAGAGACAGCAGUUCCGGGAGUAGUAAUGCACGAACAUGAAGAAAUAACGGCGAUUUAAAGUGUCCUAGUUUCCAACGAAUCACAAACUACCGACGCUGCAGUAAACAGAAAUUUUUGUCCGGAAGUAAAAAAUUUUUUUAUGGAUAUUUGUUAGAUCACUAAGUCCAAAAAAAACUAAAGAUUCAACACAUUAGUUUUAUCCGCAUAGAAACAUUUUAUACAAACUCAAUUAAAAAAAAAAGACUUUAUAAAUUCUCAAUGACAAAGAUUUAUUACAUUA